ACCGGGCAAGCCGAAGGGCAGCUGACGGCCCAUUUUUGGGCUGAGGAAACUCCACCCAUCAUACAGAACCGCGGUGCCGUGAGGCAUCAGCUGAGAGGCUGGACCCUGGAGCAGAAACGACACGUCUUCUGGUGGAUGAUAAUGAAGCUUCACCCUUAAAGGAGCAGACUGACACCAGGAGGACCGGUGAAACGGCCAUUCCGCGGGAUGCAAGGACAAAUACUGCCUGUGAUUACUGUAGGAGGCAGAGGUAGUCCGCCGAGAUGAAUGCUGCCGAAACAGAAGGUGGGUUACUCUCGGCAUGCCCGGU
rnacentral:RNase_P_RNA from 1 species